rnacentral:rRNA from 1 species
CUGGCGGCGUGCCUAACACAUGCAAGUCGAACGGGGAUUUGUUUCGGCAGAAUCCUAGUGGCGAACGGGUGAGUAAACGCGUAGGCAACCUGCCCUCCGCCGGGGGACAACGACUCCGAAAGGGGUGCUAAAUACCGGAUACGAAGUCUGUGCCGCAUGGUACGGAUUUGAAAGAUGGGCCUCAUUUAUAAGCUAUCGCCGGGGGAUGGGCCUGCGUCCGAUUAGCUGGUUGGUGGGGUAACGGCCUACCAAGGCGACGAUCGGUAGCCGGUCUGAGAGGAUGAACGGCCACAUUGGGACUGAGACACGGCCCAGACUCCUACGGGAGGCAGCAGUGGGGAAUCUUCCGCAAUGGGCGCAAGCCUGACGGAGCAACGCCGCGUGAGUGAGGAAGUUCUUCGGAACGUAAAGCUCUGUUGUUCCUGACGAACCUCCCCUCUAUCAACAACGGAGGGGACUGACGGUAGGGAACGAGGAAGCCACGGCUAGCUACGUGCCAGCCGCCGC